UACGUAGGGGGCAAGCGUUAUCCGGAUUUAUUGGGCGUAAAGAGCGCGUAGGCGGGCUAUUAAGCGAGAUGUGAAAACUGGGGGCUCAACCCGCAGCUUGCAUCUCGAACUGGUAGCCUUGAGUCUGGUAGAGGAGUGUGGAAUUCCCAGUGUAGCGGUGAUAUGCGCAGAUAUUGGGAGGAACACCAGUGGCGAAGGCGGCACUCUGGGCCACGACUGACGCUGAGGCGCGAAAGCUAGGGGAGCGAAC
rnacentral:rRNA from 1 species